AGAACGAACGCUGGCGGCAGGCCUAACACAUGCAAGUCGAACGCGACCUUCGGGUCGAGUGGCGCACGGGUGAGUAACGCGUGGGAACCUGUCCUGUGGUACGGAAUAACACCGGGAAACUGGUGCUAAUACCGUAUAUCCCCUGAGGGGAAAGAUUUAUCGCCAUAGGAGGGGCCCGCGUAGGAUUAGCUAGUUGGUGAGGUAACGGCUCACCAAGGCGACGAUCCUUAGCUGGUCUGAGAGGAUGAUCAGCCACACUGGGACUGAGACACGGCCCAGACUCCUACGGGAGGCAGCAGUGGGGAAUAUUGGACAAUGGGGGAAACCCUGAUCCAGCCAUGCCGCGUGAGUGAUGAAGGCCUUCGGGUUGUAAAGCUCUUUCGCACGCGACGAUGAUGACGGUAGCGUGAGAAGAAGCCCCGGCUAACUUCGUGCCAGCAGCCGC
rnacentral:rRNA from 1 species